GACAUAUUUGAAUUUUAUCUAGGAGAAAUACAAUUGACUUCCAUCCUGUAAAAAUGAUGUUCUCAAGCCUUACACUUUAUUCCCCUGUAGGAUAUCACUCAAUUUUGCAUCUAUUUGACAUUCCUGAUUACCUAAAUGUGUGUGUGUGUGUGUGUGUGUGUGUGUGUGUGUGUGCUCUUCAAAUUAUCCUUUAAACACAUGAUUUUAAGCUAUGAAUGAAAUAAAAUUCUUGUAACAGAGUCAUGAUUUUAGGUUUUUGAAAAUUAUUCUUUGGUAAGGGACACAACACACCAGGAAAUAAAAUAAGAACUUCAAACUGAAUUCUCAGACACCCUAUUCCUGAAAUUCUUAGCCACUCCCCAUGUAUUUCUCAUGGGUCCUAUCUCUCCUUAGGCCAUGGGCGCCUGCCAUGUCUGCCCAGCGCUUCCUCUCCAGACCUUCCCCAACAUCCCUCUCCUUCCGGUUCCCAACAUCCCAAGCAUGAGGGGACAAUUUCAAGAUGUCUAUUUCUUUAUAAGGUGGAGGAAUUUUACUCCGCACACCUACCUGAGACUUAGAUCCUGGCCUCCUUUGGGUAUGCAAGAGAGGCUUACUUAAAUAUUUUCUUCAUAAUUUAAAAAAUGCAUUUAUUCCUGAAGUUAACACCGCUGUUGCCUGAGAAUUUCUCCUUUAGUUGGCACAUAGUUUCUCUUAAACAUGUGACACGCUCUGCCCACAAAGCAUGUGUGACACUCUAAACAAACAAACAAAAGAAAAACCUCUAACUAUAACUAUCCAUAGCAAGAAGAGCCUCAGUAUCCAAUAAGAAUUGGAUUCUCAUCAGAUGCACCAUCGCUCUGGAACAGGUACUGAUGUGGCAAAUGAGACUCCAUCGGCUUCUGCUUGGGUGACUUUGGGAGACUGAGUUAGACAACUUUCAAACUUCCUUCGAACCUUAAGAUUCAAAGAGAUCACCAUAAUAUUUAGUUAAAACUAAGGUUUUACUCACUACAGUGAUCACACUCAUUGUCUAUACAGCAAAGAAGUUGUUCAAAUCCCUCAAGCCCCAAACCCCUGGAAGAGUCCUGGGAGACUCAGGAAUUGCUCUAAGUCACCAUUACAGUUCUUCUGUGGCUGUGUUUGACAUCUUCGUCGCCUGCUGGUCAUCUUUACCUGCCUCUGCUUCUCCGACUCUUGAACCUUCCCUGGUAUUGUUCCUGAGCUAUGACUAUGACAUCACCACUCAGUGACAUCACUCAUGCAUCACCAGGGCCUCCAGGCAGGCUACACUUAUGUGCAGUCAAGGCUUUUCACUGACACAGCAAGAGCUUUCUCAUCAUGUUUAUAGAUCUCCAGAGAUUCCCAAAAGUAUGGUCCUUCCUCUCUCUGCUUCCUAAAUAACUUCUACUAAGGUUGCUUUUACUAUUUUACUUUUCAGAUUUUUUCCAAGGCCUGUCUCAAGGAACAUGGGAUAUAUUCACCCAGGAAUAGGUCAGCAGAUAUUAACGAGGCACCUUAUAACAUCUAAUUUAAAGCACACAUCCCUUGCAUGACUCCUACCUACAGGUGAAUUCCCUAUCAACUCAGGGAACUCCCUUAAGAUUAGAAUGCAGUUUUGUAUGCCUCCUGUUAUAUAUGUUUAGAUGUGCAGCCUAUUCACCAAUCUCUAACAUCAUCAUCAAUUAAACAGGGCAUGUGACCACCCAUGAACCCAUGCUAGAGUUUUCCAGGUAUGUUCCUGUGAGGUCUUCAGUGAUUCACUGGAAGUACUCACGGAUCUCAGAAAACCUGUCAUGUUACAAUUAUAGUUUAUUAUAUAGCAAGAGGAUUCAGAUUGAAGUCAGCAAUGGAAAAAGGUACAUAGAGCAAACUCCAGCAGAAACCAAGUACAUGCUUCUAGUUCUCUUGCAGUUCAUGCACGUGACCAGCCUAAUUCUCCCUGUUACAACAUGAGAUGACACGCAGACAGUGUUGCCAACCAGGAAGGCUCACCUGAGCUUUGGUGUCCAGGCGAACUGCCCAUGGGACUGACCUUCGGUCUCCAGUUCCUCCAGAGGUCAAGCUGAUACCACCACCAGGAGAGAGAAUCGGCUUGACUUGAGGAUGCCUCUCAAGGUAAAGUACUUCAUUUUUGGCCAAUACCAAGUAAAAUUAGGAGGUGCUUAAUGAUUUGGUCCAACAGAAAUCAAGGGGAAAAAUGUAAAGCAGCCAGUAAACCUUUCCGGAACAUUUGCUCAAUUGGCGUGAAGAGCUUAUACCCAAGCCUGAGACUGACUGCUAGAAAUAGAUGCCUAAAGGUUUUUUUUAAUAGGAUACAUGUAAAUUCAUUAGUCUACAAUACUACAGAAUGCUACUCAAUAAAUAUUUCACUGCCUAACCAUCAUUUCCAAAAGUAUUUUGGUUAUCAAAAUGUUUGUUUCAGAAGGUUCUCACUAAAAAUGCUAAAGCUGAAAGACCAGUCAACUAAAAAUCUCCUAAGAAAGUGAAGCAACAAGAAUUUUGCCUAAAUAUGCAUACAUGAAACCAGAAUGACUCAAGUGUCAGGUCCAGUUGGGACCAUGUUGUAAAUUCAACAGGAAUUCAAUUCAUGAAUUUCCCAUCAUGUGAGGUAUCUGGACGAUAUGUGAACACUGAAAACAACAAUGUCAAUACAAUUGAAUGCAGACAUUAAUAAACCUGUCAUUUGGAUCAGCAGAUAAUCUUGUAACUGAAUAUUUGGAUAUUUGGGGGAAGGAAAUGUACAAAUCAUCAAAGGCGGCAAAUUCCCUUCAGGAAUUGUGGUAUCCACACAUUGUAUCACAGGUUUGGUUUGACUGAAUAAUGCAUGAAGAUGUCUGUUUUAAAUUAUUCACUGACUACAGAGUUGACAAGUAACCACUGAAGAACCAGGAGAUUAGCCACCAGGAGCCUCCAUUUGAUGUCUGACUCAGUGAAGGCUGUUUUUUCUCUAGAGAAUGAGAGGUUCUAUGUAAUAUGAGACUAAGGAAGUAAGGUAGAGUCUGUGGUAUGCUCACAAGAUGUUGCUUUAAAUGUGCUGAUAGAAUUCUGGAGCCCACAAGUCUACAAAUGAGUGCCAUUGAAAUCCACACCUGGGUCUAUAGCACUUUGAUAUGUCAAAGGGGUAGGUUCUGCCAUUUUUCUUACUAAGUAUAUUGAAACAUAACACUACAUAAAAUUUAAAAUUACUCUGUAGGGUCAAAUGAGCAUUUUUUUAGAGAAUGCACAAUGUCCCUAGGAGAAGAGGGUGCUGUCUUUGUUGAAUUGACUCCAUUAUUUUUCAUGCAUGUUGUUUUCAAAAAUUUUUAGAGACACUUUAAAAGAAGGAAGGGAGCUUCUCAAAUAAUGAUGGCUGUCAUUUAAUUAAUCCAUGAUAAAUAACAUUGAUAAAAUAGAUAAAAAAUCAAAAGCUCAGAAUGGUUGAAGAACUUUCUCCAACAUCACAGAAGUACAGUUCUUCUCUCCCAAAGCCUGUGCUACUUCCUGGUUGAUGGCAAUAUGCUGCCUAAUAGGACCUUAAAAAGUCUUUCUCAUCAGCUGACCACGGGCCAAGAGCCUCUCUUCCCUAGUUCAAAUGGACUCUGCUGGAACUCUGUAAAGGACCAUGUCUCUGCAUCUUUACAUAUGCAACAUCUAUCAUGGUGAUCAUUUAUUUUAAUAAAUUGGGUUUUCCUUUU